rnacentral:rRNA from 1 species
UUGUGGUUAAAAAGCUCGUAGUUGGAUCUCGGCGGACUGAGGGCGGUUUGCUUGCUAGUAUUACUGCCCUAUAGUCCGUAGUUUUGCCAGAGGUUUCGGGGUGCUCUUAAUCGAGUGUCCCGGGAUGCUGGCAGGUUUACUUUGAAAAAAUUAGAGUGCUCAAAGCAGGCUAUUACGCCUGAAUAUUCGUGCAUGGAAUAAUAGAAUAGGAAGUCGUUUCUAUUUUGUUGGUUUUCGGAAAUCGACUUAAUGAUUAAUAGGGACAGUCGGGGGCAUUUGUAUUCAAACGACAGAGGUGAAAUUCUUGGACCGUCUGAAGACAAACUACUGCGAAAGCAUUUGCCAAGAAUGUUUUCAUUAAUCAAGAACGAAAGUUAAAGGUUCGAAGGCGAUUAGAUACCGCCCUAGUUUUAACCAUAAACGAUGCCAGCUAGCGAUCUGCGGACGUUUUUUUUGUAGACUCCGCAGGAAGCUUCCGGGAAACCAAAGCAUUUGGGUUCCAGGGGAAGUAUGGUUGCAAAGCUGAAACUUAAAGGAAUUGACGGAAGGGCACCACCAGGAGUGGAGCCUGUGGCUUAAUUUGACUCACACGGGAAAUCUCACCA